rnacentral:rRNA from 1 species
GACGAACGCUGGCGGCGUGCCUAAUACAUGCAAGUCGAGCGGACGAAUCGAAAGCUUGCUUUUGAUUCGUUAGCGGCGGACGGGUGAGUAACACGUGUGCAACCUGCCCUGUAGACGGGGAUAACACCGAGAAAUCGGUGCUAAUACCGGAUAACCCGAAAUGUCGCAUGACGUUUCGUUUAAAGUCGGCGCAAGCUGUCGCUCCCGGGUCUGCCCGCGUCGCUGUUGCUAGUUGGUGAGGUAAAGGCUCACCCAGGCGACGAGUCGUAGCCGACCUGAGAGGGGGAUCGGCCGCACGGGGACUGAGCCACGGACCAGACUCCUACGGGAGGCAGCAGUAGGGAAUCGUCCGCAAUGGACGAAAGUCUGACGGAGCAACGCCGCGUGAGAGAAGAAGGCCUUCGGGUCGUAAAGCUCUGUUGUUAGGGAAGAACAAGUAACGCAGUAACUGGCGUUACCGUGACGGUACCUAACGAGAAAGCCACGGCUAACUACGUG